AGGGAAUCUUCCACAAUGGGCGCAAGCCUGAUGGAGCAACACCGCGUGAGUGAAGAAGGGUUUCGGCUCGUAAAGCUCUGUUGUUGGAGAAGAACGUGCGUGAGAGUAACUGUUCACGCAGUGACGGUAUCCAACCAGAAAGUCACGGCUAACUACGUGCCAGCAGCCGCGGUAAUACGUAGGUGGCAAGCGUUAUCCGGAUUUAUUGGGCGUAAAGCGAGCGCAGGCGGUUGCUUAGGUCUGAUGUGAAAGCCUUCGGCUUAACCGAAGAAGUGCAUCGGAAACCGGGCGACUUGAGUGCAGAAGAGGACAGUGGAACUCCAUGUGUAGCGGUGGAAUGCGUAGAUAUAUGGAAGAACACCAGUGGCGAAGGCGGCUGUCUGGUCUGCAACUGACGCUGAGGCUCGAAAGCAUGGGUAGCGAAC
rnacentral:rRNA from 1 species